rnacentral:rRNA from 1 species
UACGUAGGGCGCGAGCGUUGUCCGGAAUUAUUGGGCGUAAAGGGCUCGUAGGCGGUUUGUCGCGUCGGGAGUGAAAACACCGGGCUUAACUCGGUGCUUGCUUUCGAUACGGGCAGACUAGAGGCAUGCAGGGGAGAACGGAAUUCCUGGUGUAGCGGUGAAAUGCGCAGAUAUCAGGAGGAACACCGGUGGCGAAGGCGGUUCUCUGGGCCUGUCCUGACGCUCAGGCGCGAAAGCUAGGGGAGCAAACAGG